rnacentral:misc_RNA from 1 species
GAUGAAGAACGUAGCGAAAUGCGAUAACUAAUGUGAAUUGCAGAAUUCAGUGAAUCAUCGAGUCUUUGAACGCACAUUGCGCCCCCUGGUAUUCCGGGGGGCAUGCCUGUCCGAGCGUCAUUGCUGCCCUCAAGCACGGCUUGUGUGUUGGGCUCCGUCCCCCCGGGGACGGGCCCGAAAGGCAGCGGCGGCACCGAGUCCGGUCCUCGAGCGUAUGGGGCUUUGUCACCCGCUCUGUAGGCCCGGCCGGCGCCAGCCGACAACCCAUCAUCCUUUUCAGGUUGACCUCGGAUCAGGUAGGGAUACCCGCUGAACUUAAGCAUAUCAAUAAGCGAGGA